UCUCUUUCCCUUUCUCUUACAGACAUGUGAAAAAUAGCCUAAUAAGGAUCUUCGUGGUAAAAUCAGAUGGAAAACGGGGAGGCAGAGUCGCGUCUCCAGCAGCUCAUUCGACGCGGCGGCUCCUCCGAGUUGUACAAUAAUCAUCAGUGCUGGCCCGGUGCCGCUGGAUUAUUUUGUAUAUUCAUGAAGGCCCUCAUCAGCCGUCAGGAGACUGUGCAGUAAUCCUUGGAUGAAAUAAGGCCAAUCAGAGCGAUAAUGAGGAAGAGACACAUCCGAGCAGGUCAUGGGCUGCUUCCACCGACAGAUGUCCUGAUGUGAAGGAGAGUACCACUGAAGAAAAUGCCUGAACUGCUAUUAUCUGCAUCCUUCAAGCGCUUUUAAAUGACAGAGAUUAAUUACUGAAGUAAUUACUGUUGGGAAGCAAAGGGACAGUUGGAUAAGACGGCCUUUCUUGUGAUGACCAAGUCUUUCUUGACAAUUAUGCCUAAUUCCAACAAUGAUUAUUCCGUGUGGCAAAGUCGAGCAGCACAAGGGCAUGCGGGUGUCCGUGUGUCCUCACUCACAAGGAGCCAUUAGAACGAGGACAGGAUUACGACGUGCCGUUAACAUUAGCCUCAGCACAGUGUCUGGAUGAUCAGCCAUGCCUCUUGUAAAUGUCCCACAUAAACCCUGCAGGCCAUGGGCGGUCACCAUGUGAGAGACAGCAUGGCUCCAUCAGUUGGUUACUGCGGGAUUUCUGCAAAGUAUGGUUCAGAGGAUGUCAGGUCUGUUAGGACCCCUGGGCUGGGAGGGGAAAGGUAGAGGAGGGGUCAGUGACCAGCACAGGACAGAAAAGCAUCUUAAGCAAAUAUUGGAUUGUGAGCAUCGAAGAGAAACAACUCAAGAGGGCCUUCCAGCUGGCUCUAGCUGGCACCCGUUCAAUUCUUCCGGCCAUGAUGUGCCCACAAGAACGCCCCAGGAGAGAUGCUUCUGUAAGGGAGCAGCCACCAGCCACCUAAAUGAGGUCAACGGAAAGAAUGGAAAUAGUUGGAGCCUGGGGAUGACAUCAAACACUGGGUGGGUGAGGGGGAGAAAGGAGGUAUGUGGAGAGAGAGGCAGCCCAAGGGAGGCAGAGACAUGGAUGGGAGGAGUGACAGAAGGGCAGGACUUCAGGCUCUGCACCUCUUUCCGGGUGUUGUUGCCAGCCCUACUCCAACCCUGAGCCAUAAUCAACUUCCUUAAUGAAAUACGUAAUUAACAUAUUAUAAUUGUAGUAAAGAUGAUUUUGACAGAAAUCAUUUUCCAUAUCUAA
rnacentral:lncRNA from 1 species